rnacentral:rRNA from 1 species
UACGGAGGGUGCGAGCGUUGUCCGGAAUCACUGGGCGUAAAGGGCGCGUAGGUGGCCCGUUAAGUGGCUGGUGAAAUCCCGCGGCUCAACUGCGGGGCUGCCGGUCAGACUGGCGAGCUAGAGCACGGUAGGGGCAGAUGGAAUUCCCGGUGUAGCGGUGGAAUGCGUAGAGAUCGGGAAGAAUACCAGUGGCGAAGGCGUUCUGCUGGGCCGUUUGCUGACACUGAGGCGCGACAGCGUGGGGAGCAAACAGG